GCUGGGCAUGGUGGCACAUGUCUGUGAUCCCAUCUACUCAGGAAGCUGAGAUGGGAGGAUCGCUUGAGCCCGGGAGCUCUAGGCUAGCUCUAGGCUAUGGUGCACUAUGAUUGCACCAGUUAACAGCCACUGCACUUCAGCCUGGGCAACAUAGCGAGUCCCCGUCUCUA
rnacentral:SRP_RNA from 1 species